AUUGAACGCUGGCGGCAGGCCUAACACAUGCAAGUCGAACGAGUGGCGGACGGGUGAGCAAUGUCCGGGAAACUGCCCGAUGGAGGGGGAUAACUACUGGAAACGGUAGCUAAUACCGCAUACCGUCGGUGGUGCCCAGAUGGGAGUAGCUAGUGGGUGGGGUAACGGCUCACCUAGGCGACGAUCCCUAUCUGGUCUGAGAGGAUGACCAGCCACACUGGAACUGAGACACUGUCCAGACUCCUACGGGAGGCAGCAGUGGGGAAUAUUGCACAAUGGGCGCAAGCCUGAUGCAGCCAUGCCGCGUGUAUGAAGAAGGCCUUCGGGUUGUAAAGUACUUUCAGCGAGGAGGCGUUACUCGCAGAAGAAGCACCGGCUAACUCCGUGCCAGCAGCCGCGGUAAUUC
rnacentral:rRNA from 1 species